rnacentral:rRNA from 1 species
GCAUCGGGGGGCUUACCGUGCAGUCGAGGGGUAACAUUGUGCUUGCACAGAUGACGACCGGCGCACGGGUGCGUAACGCGUAUAGAACCUACCUUUUACAGGGGAAUAGCCUUUAGAAAUGAAGAUUAAUGCCCCAUAGUAUUAAGACUUGGCAUCAGGUUUUAAUUAAAGAUUUAUCGGUAAAAGAUGGCUAUGCGUCCUAUUAGUUAGUUGGUAAGGUAACGGCUUACCAAGACAGCGAUAGGUAGGGGUCCUGAGAGGGAGAUCCCCCACACUGGUACUGAGACACGGACCAGACUCCUACGGGAGGCAGCAGUGAGGAAUAUUGGACAAUGGAGGCGACUCUGAUCCAGCCAUGCCGCGUGUAGGAAGAAUGCCCUAUGGGUUGUAAACUACUUUUAUACAGGAAGAAACACUGGUAUGUAUACCAGCUUGACGGUACUGUAAGAAUAAGGACCGGCUAACUCCGUGCCAGCAGCCGCGGUAAC